rnacentral:tRNA from 1 species
AAGCCCAAGUGGUAGAAGCGCCAAAAUGCAAAUUUGGAGAAGUACCCUUAACGGGUGCCGGGGCUUC